rnacentral:rRNA from 1 species
AUUGAACGCUGGCGGCAAGCCUAACACAUGCAAGUCGAACGAGUGGCGGACGGGUGAGUAAUGUCGGGGAAACUGCCUGAUGGAGGGGGAUAACUACUGGAAACGGUAGCUAAUACCGCAUACCAUCGGAUGUGCCCAGAUGGGAUUAGCUAGUAGGUGGGGUAAAGGCUCACCUAGGCGACGAUCCCUAGCUGGUCUGAGAGGAUGACCAGCCACCCGGAACCUGGGACACGUCCCAGCCUCCUACGGGAGGCAGCAGUGGGGAAUAUUGCACAAUGGGCGCAAUCCUGAUGCCGCCAGGCCGCGUGUAUGAAGAAGGCCUUCGGGUUAUAAAGUACUUUCAGCGGGGAGGCGUUACCCGCAGAAGAAGCACCGGCUAACUCCGUGCCAGCAGCCGCGGUAAUUC